UGUGUGUGUGUGUGUGUGUGUGUGUGUGUGUGUGUGUGUGUGUGUGUGUGUGUGUGUGUGUGUGUGUGUGUGUGUGUGUGUGUGUGUGUGUGUGUGUGGGUGCGUUUGUCAAAGUGACAUAUGGGGACAUUUUUAUGAAAUUUCACCUUACAUAUGAGGACCUGUUGAAAUAUGGGGACAUUUUCCAUGUCCCCAUAUUUCCCGCAAUGCUAUCGUGUUCUAGACCCUCCCAGCAUGUUCCCAGACCAAAAAUCUCUGAAGUCUUCAUUUGUCAAAUUUUCAGAAAAAGUGUGUGAAAGUGUGUUUAAUUUUUUUGCUCACCUUCGAUUUUGCCCCUAGUGGCCAUCUUUGCUAUUAUGACACACACACACACACACUUGUCCUCAUAUGUCAUAUGUCCUCAUAUGUCAUGUGGGUCAGAAACUCACACACUCCAACAUUUUGAAAAACAUCUAAUCAUUACAGCAAUAAACAUACUCUUGAAUUCUGAAUCAAAUAACACAUGUUCAACUGAUCUGAUGAUCUGAACCUUUUUUAUGUUAGUUUUAUCUAUUCAUUUGGUUUAUCUGGAGAGGAUUUGGGCUAGACAAUUAGUAAUAAAGGGAUUAUGGUGAUGAUUUAAUUGGUUUGAUUCAGUAUUUUACUGUAUUGGGCUUUUUGCUAUUAUGUUGACUAAAAUACAAUGCCGCACAAUAAUUAAUUUAAAUGUGCCUGAAAUGUAGGUUUUUGCAUAAAUCCCCCCCCCCCCCCUACAUACAGUAUUUAAUAUUUUCAAAUGGUUACAAUAGCACAUGAUUUAGGUAUUUUUAUCUUUGGGACAAAUUUUGGAUUCAAUUGGCGAUUGUUUUUGGAGGUAUUCACUUUACAUUGUGUUCAAGAUGGUUACUUCCGCCCACUCUGAAGAGUCUCGGCGUCUGAUUGGUCCAAUUUUCAGUUAGGCGCUGCCUGAUUGGCCAGUGGAUGAUGUCUGCUCCUAACAGAGGGCUAAAUCACUAGUUAACUAUUUUCAUCAUGGAAGUUAUACAGCUCAUGUAUCACACUUAAUAUUGAAUAUAUAUAUAAAAAGGGUUUUCCAAAAGGACCAUUUAUAAUCGAAAUACAAAACUUCACACACGAUUUUGAGCACAACAGAGCGCUCAGUGAACAUCACUUCCGGGACCUGCAGCACCAGAGGGGGACAUCUAUCUUGGCCACAAACCAUCUUUGACAGUCUUCGACAGCAUGGUUGAAUCAGGUGAGCAUAAAAUGGAGUUUAACGUAAUUAAAUAGACCAAUGUUUUUUAACAUAGGAAAAUAAUUCAUUAUAAACAACAGUUAAAUGUUUGUUUUUAUUAAUUGCAAUCAGAUUUGAUUUUAUGAGGUUAAAUUAAGCAUUUCAGUUCUGGGCCAAGGCCAAGGCAUUUACAUUUUUUUUUUUUAAAGUUGCAUGGAAGAUUAUAAGUAGCAGUGAUUGUCACACACACACUAGGUGUGGUGAAAUUAUUCUCUGCAUUUGACCCAUCACCCUUGAUCACUAUGCUAGUAAACCUUUUCUUAAUUUUAAACAAGACAGACUAGAGUUCUUCAAAUUGUUUAUACUUUUUCUCAAAUACAAAUAUUUCAAGCUGAUAAGCACUGUGGAGUUGGCAUGUUACUGAUAUUGUUACAUUAGUUCUUUGUUUGAGAAGCUUCAUGUCUGCAUUGAGCCUAAAUUUAACAGUUUUUGAAGGGUUUAGUUCUUUGUUUUAUUUCUGUGUCACUGACUUUUUUCAUUUUUAUGUGUGGAUUUGUUAGGCGCAUCAACACAUGAUAUAGACAUCGUGCCCAAAAGAAGAGCGAGACGUAAUCCUGAGGCUGAAGCCACCGAGUUUAUGUGAUCUGGAUGUGACAAGUCUUGUUUUAAGGCCCAGUGGAUCAAUGAUUGGAAAGACACCAACUGUUGAUGUUCUAUCUCAACAUUCUCCAGAUUCAUGUGAGCGAUAAACCGACUUCAUCCCUCCAACAGACACCAACUGUUGGGGUUCUAUCUCAACAUUCUCCAGAUUCAGAUGUGAGCGAUAAACCGACUUCAUCCCUCCAACAGAAACCAACUGUUGAGGUUCCAUCUCAACAUUCUCCAGAUUCAGAUGUGAGCCAUUAACUGACUUCAUCCCUCCAACAGAAACCAACUGUUGAGGUUCUAUCUCAACAUUCUCUAGAUUCAGAUGACAGCCAUAAACCGACUUCAUCCCUCCAACAGAUUGAAAGCAGGACAAAUCGCUGGAAGUGGGUAUGUCUCAAGCUUCUUCCACUUGGUCCACUCCAAAGCGGGCUGCAAAGGGGAAGAAGUGGAAGCAGUUGAAUGACACAUGUUGCAUUUUGUAACUGGCAACAAAGUACCAGGUAAAAAAGAUUGUGAAGCCUGCCUCCAUAAAGAACUAGUAGCUCUACAGGACAGAGAUUGGCUUGCCAUCAAGUACUACAUCCAUAACAGAAUUAUAUUA